rnacentral:rRNA from 1 species
AUCAUGGCUCGGGAUGAACGCUAGCGACAGGCUUAACACAUGCAAGUCGAGGGGCAGCGAGGGAGUGGCAACACUUCUGUCGGCGACCGGCGCACGGGUGAGUAACGCGUAUGCAACCUGCCCUUCACAGGGGGAUAACCGGGAGAAAUUCCGACUAAUACCGCAUACGUCCUUUGGGGGCAUCCCCGGGGGAUGAAAGAAUUAUCGGUGAAGGAUGGGCAUGCGUGAUAUUAGGUAGUUGGCGGGGCAACGG